rnacentral:tRNA from 1 species
AAAGACUUAGGAUAACAUCAAACCAUGGACCUUCAAAGUCCAAAAUAGGGGACAACCCCCCUAGUUUUUG